ACUAUUUUAAGUCUAGUCUUUACAUGACAGAGUGUUUCCUAUAUACGAAUGUUUGCCAUUUUAGUAGGCCAGGGGAUGGAGGAUUAACCCCUUAAAUCCUACUUUAUUGAGGGAGGUGGGCACAGGCCAGGUUCCCACGGGAUAUUAAGUGGUUUGGCUAUUAUUUGUCUAUAAUAAUCUGCAUAUCUCUGGAACAACAAC